rnacentral:tRNA from 1 species
GGAGAUAUAGUUUAAUUGAAAGAGAAUACGGUUUUUGUAAAACCGGGGUAUUAAUUUUAUUAUCUCCU